AAAAAAAAAAAAAAAAAAAAAAAAAGAGAGAGAAGAAAAGGACCUGAUGAAGAUGGACAAUCCCAGUCACAGAUACAUUCACAAUCACAAGUAAGAAAAAAAGGUGUUGUGUACAUGACGUGUUCUGUUUGUGGGGAAAAAGGAGAUAACAAAAGGCACCAAAAGUUCAUGGAAUCACAAGUUCAUGGAAGCCAAGAGGGACUUGGAGAUUAGAAGCUGCAAAAGCAUCUGCAGGGAUAAAAAUGUGGAUAUAUUUUGUUUUGUAUGUUGUUCAGAAGCAACCAAAUCUAUUUGAUAAAUGUCGAAGUUUAUUUUGUCGUAUUUUGUUUUUCUAACUGUUUAGAAGAAGCCAAAUCUCUCUGAUAAAUGUUGGAGUUUAUUUUGUAGUAUUUUGGUUUUCCGACUAUUUAGAAGAUAGGAUAUGAUUUUAUCUGGAGCAAUGUAAUUGCACUUGAAUUUGAUGGGCGUUUUGUGCACCUGCAUUUGUUGGUAAAUAUUGUGUUAUGUUUGACUGGAAAAUUAUCAUGGUUUGCUAUGUUUGUGGUUGUCCAGUGUCAAGAAAUUUGGUCAACUGGAGGAUAUAAUAAUAAAAAUAUUCCAUUGAUCUACUUGAAGGAUGUUACAACAUUCCAUAUUAUAUUGUUCUAAUUCAACAAAAUACAGCAUAUUAUAUUUUUCUAAUUGAACAAAAAAUACAGCAUAUUAUAAUCUCAUCAAGGUCCACCAAUACGUGGAAUCUCACUGAUGAAACACUUCCAAUCAAAUGAGUGCCCUCAUUGAUUCUUAUAUGUUGCUAGUAUCACCGAAAUCCGAACGAUCAUAUUACAAAUCUUUAUGUUGUAGGUGUUAACAAGAUUUGAAGAUUUUCCUACAAAGAAAUUGGAAGCAUUAAGAAUGGCAGCAGCAUUAGGAUGUUCCUUCACCUAACAAUUUCUUCACUAUAUCAAUGGAAAUACUUUACUGCACCUGCAACAGGAAAAUAAAUCUUACAUGAGGAAAAUAACAUCAUCCACCUUAACUACAUUACUCUUACAUUGUCUAAAUCAACAAAUGAAAUAUAGUACUCACAACAAGAAAAUAAAAACUCCAAUGGUAGCAACAUGUAGAAUCCUAAGAGUUAAAAUUUUUUAUCUCGAAGCAGGCCUAAAGAUUCUUUUGAUGUUCAUAGCAAUUUUUAAAACGGGGGGCAUGCACUUGGUAUGAGGCGCUAAAUCAGCCACGAAUUUUUAGUUUGGAGCCACUGACGGGUCUCGCUACUUUGGAGUUUCCACGCUUGCAAAUUUCCAGCUACGAUCUUUGGUGUUUGGAUGUGUCGAUUUUCGGUUUGGAGGCACUGCUUGCCAGCAAUGGUAACAGAGGUACCCUUCUGUUAGACACGUGGCCAAAAUCGUCAAAUUUUACUAACGGAAUGAAGUCGGUGAUGAAUGGGAUCCCAAAUGGCAAAGUUGAGUGACUAUCUAGGGGAUUUCUAAAGUUCAGUGAUCCCUUGGGUACAUUCGGCAAAGUUCGGUGACCAUUUAGGGUAUUAGCCCUGUUUUCAUAUACUUCAAAAAUAGAGAAAAUUAUGUGUCACCACUCAUGAAAUCCUUGUAAUUUUGAUUAUUCUCGAACAAUUUAAAAGUGAAAAGAUCUGGUACUCUCCUCCCCCUAAUAAAAUGCAGUAACAAUGCAGAUUAAAUCAAUAGAUAUAGGGUACAAUUCUACUAAUUGCCUUCGUGAAACUCCAAAAUAUCUAAUUAGUUUAGCCAUAAUUCAACUAUUGUUGAUUUAUGGAUGUCUCUGAAUUUAAAUGGGUCACGAUAUAUGCACCAUACAAUUCUAUUACAUACAAUAGACAAUAACAAUAAUUUGACACCAUGUACA